rnacentral:lncRNA from 1 species
GGAAAAACAAACAAACAAACAAACGAAGAUUUCAAAGAAAACAAAGAUGAAGAAAAAAGGUUAUGAAGACAAACAAAAUAGAGAAAAAGAUGAAGACGAAGAGAACACGAGGGGGAGAAAACAAAGAUUAAGGAAUAAAUAGAACCGCGAGUAGAUGCCACAAGAAUUAUGACGUGACGACGAAGGAAAAAAAGAUUAUGAAAAAAAAGAAAAAUGAAAUAAAUGAUAGAAAAUAAGAAAAACAACAAUUAUGACACGGAAAAUGAACGAGAAAAAACGAAAUUGAAGAUGAAGACAAAAUUGAAAAGAGAAAAACUGAACAACAACGUGAAAUCCCUUCCGUUUCAAUUCAAAGUCAUGAGCAUUUAAUCAAAACAUUUACAUUAAUUUUUUAAGUCUUUUAUCCAAAUUUAUUCAAAAACCUUGAUUCCGAGAAGAAUCAAGUACUAAUAAACAUGCGUGGACAUGCAUUCCUAAAUAUGUAAAUUAGAUCAUAUCAAAAACAAUAAAGCUAGUCCACGUAAA